AGCCAAGAUCGUGCUACUGCACUCCUGCCUGGUGACAAGAGCGAGACUCCGUCUCAAAAAAAAAAAAAAAAAUCAUUAUUAUUUCACAUGUGCUUUAUAUCUUAUGUUUUGAUUUAUUUUUAAUCAGCAGGGGUUUGUAAUUUCAGCUUUUAGUUACUCCUGCUAUUAAGUAUUGAAUGGACAAACACUACUUAAAACAGUGUUACACUUCUUUUGAAAUAUGAGGAAUCCUUUUAUUUAUCUGUGUGCAAAUAACAUGUUUCAACACUACUGUUAAGUAUUCUGUUAAAGUACAAGUCUAUCCCUUAGGAGGGGAGGGUACACUCUACAAGAAGUUUUUUUCCCCAGUCUCUAUGGGGUGGUUAUUUCUGUAAUCCUAUUUAUGGAUGAAGCAGGGGAAAUACAGUCAUCACUGGGGCAAUGAUAAGAGCUACUGUGCACUGAGGGUUUACCAUGUGCCUGUCAGUAUGGGCAGUCUAUAUCCUCUACCUCCUUCCUCACAGAGAUCCCAUGGUGGGGGGGCCCAGUUACCCUCAUUUUACAGAACAGUAAACAGGCUCAGGGAGAUUCAGUAUUGAGGCCCCAAGCCUGGAAGUUAUCCUCCAUUUCUCUUUUCCUCUUUGGCCCCUCCUCCAAUUUAUUAACAAGUUCUGUCAGCUAUAACUCCAAAAUAUAUUUUUAAAAUAUGACCUUUUUUCCUACCCUAGCUCAAGUCCUCAUUAUCUUUCUUGCUUAGAUGUCGCAUUAGCCUCCAAACUGUCCCCCGGGGCCACUCUUACCCUUAGUACCAUCUUCCUUCCACACAAUGGGCAGGGUGGGUUUUUUUAGUUGUUGUUGUUUGUUUGUUUUUUGAGACAGGGUCUAAGUCUAUUGCCCAGGCUGCAGUGCAGUGGUGUGGUCAUAGCUCAUUGCAGCUUCAAUCUCCUGGGCUCAAGUGGUCCUCUCACUUUAGCCUUUCAAGCAGCUUAGGCUACAGGUGCAUACCACCACACCUGGCUAAUUUUUAAUUUUUUGUAGAGAUGCAGUCCCGCUAUGUUUCCUAGGCUGGUUUUUUGUUUUGUUUUGUUUUGUUUUCUGAGAUGGAGUCUUGCUCUUUUGCCCAGGCUGGAGUGCAGUGGUGUGAUCUUGGCUCACUGCAACCUCUGCCUCCCGGGUUCAAGUGAUUUUCCUGCUUCAGCCUCCUGAGUAGCUGGGACUACCAGCGCCCACCACUAUGCCUGG
rnacentral:lncRNA from 10 species